rnacentral:rRNA from 1 species
UACGGAGGGGGCUAGCGUUGUUCGGAAUUACUGGGCGUAAAGCGCGCGUAGGCGGCUUUGUAAGUUAGAGGUGAAAGCCCGGAGCUUAACUCCGGAACUGCCUUUAAGACUGCAUCGCUAGAAUCGUGGAGAGGUGAGUGGAAUUCCGAGUGUAGAGGUGAAAUUCGUAGAUAUUCGGAAGAACACCAGCGGCGAAGGCGACUCACUGGACACGUAUUGACGCUGAGGUGCGAAAGCGUGGGGAGCAAACAGG